AGCGAACGCUGGCGGCAGGCCUAACACAUGCAAGUCGAACGAACUCUUCGGAGUUAGUGGCGGACGGGUGAGUAACACGUGGGAACGUGCCUUUAGGUUCGGAAUAACUCAGGGAAACUUGUGCUAAUACCGAAUGUGCCCUCCGGGGGAAAGAUUUAUCGCCUUUAGAGCGGCCCGCGUCUGAUUAGCUAGUUGGUGAGGUAAAGGCUCACCAAGGCGACGAUCAGUAGCUGGUCUGAGAGGAUGACCAGCCACAUUGGGACUGAGACACGGCCCAAACUCCUACGGGAGGCAGCAGUGGGGAAUCUUGCGCAAUAGGCGAAAGCCUGACGCAGCCAUGCCGCGUGGAUGAUGAAGGUCUUAGGAUUGUAAAAUCCUUUCACCGGUGAAGAUAAUGACUGUAGCCGGAGAAGAAGCCCCGGCUAACUUCGUGCCAGCCGCCGCGGUAACAC
rnacentral:rRNA from 1 species